AUUUACUUUAUGCUGGGUAUUCUAAGUGCUUUGCAUGAUUUAAUACAUUUAAUCUUGUAAGCAAACACAUGAUGUAGGUACUACUAUCUAUUUUACAGUUAAGCAAAGUGAGAGACAGCUAAUUAACCCAAAUUUAGUCAACUAGCUGGAAUGUGAACCCAGCCAGUCUGGUACCAGAGCCUGAGUUUUUAACCACUUUGCUAUACUGCCUUCCUAAAUUGACCAUGACCUCCAGUAUAGUUUCAAGCAGAACAUAUAAAAGUAGGCAUUUAUUUUUUUUAAGAGACAGGAUCUCCCUUUUUCACCUAGGCUAGAGUGCAGUGGCGUGAUGGUAGCUCACUCCAGCCUCAAAUUCCUGGACUCAAGGGAUCCUCCCA
rnacentral:lncRNA from 10 species